rnacentral:rRNA from 1 species
AGUGAACGCUGGCGGCAGGCCUAACACAUGCAAGUCGAACGGCAGCACAGGAGAGCUUGCUCUCUGGGUGGCGAGUGGCGGACGGGUGAGGAAUACAUCGGAAUCUACCCUUUCGUGGGGGAUAACGUAGGGAAACUUACGCUAAUACCGCAUACGAUCUGAGGAUGAAAGCAGGGGACCGCAAGGCCUUGCGCGAUUGGAUGAGCCGAUGUCCGAUUAGCUAGUUGGCGGGGUAAAGGCCCACCAAGGCGACGAUCGGUAGCUGGUCUGAGAGGAUGAUCAGCCACACUGGAACUGAGACACGGUCCAGACUCCUACGGGAGGCAGCAGUGGGGAAUAUUGGACAAUGGGCGCAAGCCUGAUCCAGCCAUGCCGCGUGUGUGAAGAAGGCCUUCGGGUUGUAAAGCACUUUUGUUGGGAAAGAAAUCCUGUCGGCCAAUACCCGGCGGGGAUGACGGUACCCAAAGAAUAAGCACCGGCUAACUUCGUGCCAGCCGCCGCUGUAACAC